UACGAAGGGGGCUAGCGUUGCUCGGAAUCACUGGGCGUAAAGCGCACGUAGGCGGACUCUUAAGUCGGUGGUGAAAUCCUGGAGCUCAACUCCAGAACUGCCUUCGAUACUGAGAGUCUUGAGUCCGAGAGAGGUGAAUGGAACUGCGAGUGUAGAGGUGAAAUUCGUAGAUAUUCGCAAGAACACCAGUGGCGAAGGCGGCUCACUGGCUCGGUACUGACGCUGAGGUGCGAAAGCGUGGGGAGCAAACAGG
rnacentral:rRNA from 1 species